AAAAUCUAUCUUCCUUGCACAAGUCCACUAAAUACUUGGCUGUUUCCUGCAAGGGUUGCUUCCCACUCUACAGAUGAUAGAAGGAUUUGUGAUAACGUUAUUACAACUUGUUUCAUGUCUGGCCGUAAAAUUGGAUCCUCGUCAACACACUGCUUUGCCAACAUCGCAACCUACACAACAAAGAGGAGAUCAGAUGUAUGUCCUACAAAAAAAUCAGGAGUGAGUUAGACUCGUAGAGAUCAAAGUGCAGUAGGUGUGUGUCACCAGCUGCAAAAAAACUUGCGGAAUAUCCCAAGGACCACAGGUAACAAGUAACAAUAGGGCUACAAUUCAAGAGUACUUAUGCAUGGGAAAAUCAAUUAUAGGCAGAUUAUAAUACUUCCAACAGUCCACUAGCUACUGGGGUAACUUGUCCUGAACUUCCAAACGGAACAGCUAAAAACAACAACCUUCCAUACCUAUUACAAUUUCAUCGGAGGGCGCGGGAACUGGGGCGGGAGAAGCCGUCUUCUGAGGAUAAGGGUCACCAGGAACUGCA